UACGUAGGGGGCAAGCGUUGUCCGGAAUCAUUGGGCGUAAAGCGCGUGUAGGCGGUCCGGUAAGUCGGCUGUGAAAGUCCAGGGCUCAACCCUGGGAUGCCGGUCGAUACUGCCGGACUAGAGUUCGGAAGAGGCGAGUGGAAUUCCCGGUGUAGCGGUGAAAUGCGCAGAUAUCAGGAGGAACACCGAUGGCGAAGGCAGCUCGCUGGGACGUUACUGACGCUGAGACGCGAAAGCGUGGGGAGCAAACAGG
rnacentral:rRNA from 1 species